GACGAACGCUGGCGGCGUGCUUAACACAUGCAAGUCGAACGGAAAGGCCCUGCUUUUGUGGGGUGCUCGAGUGGCGAACGGGUGAGUAACACGUGAGUAACCUGCCCUUGACUUUGGGAUAACUUCAGGAAACUGGGGCUAAUACCGGAUAGGAGCUCCUGCUGCAUGGUGGGGGUUGGAAAGUUUCGGCGGUUGGGGAUGGACUCGCGGCUUAUCAGCUUGUUGGUGGGGUAGUGGCUUACCAAGGCUUUGACGGGUAGCCGGCCUGAGAGGGUUACCGGCGACAUUGGGACUGAGAGACGGACCAGACUGCUACGGGAGGCAGCGGUGGAGAGUAUUGCGCAGUGGGCGGAAGCCUGAUGCGGCAACGCCGCGUGCGGGAUGACGGCCUUCGGGUUGUAAACCGCUUUCGCCUGUGACGAAGCGUGAGUGACGGUAAUGAGUAAAGAAGCACCGGCUAACUACGUG
rnacentral:rRNA from 1 species